UGCGCAAGUCAUUGGGAAUUAACUAAACCUAAAGGCGCAAUGAAAGUGAAGGCGCGCCUAGCGCGCGCCGAGGGCGGAUGGGCGGCGGCACGCCGUCGCCCCGCACGCCCGGGGCGUCCCGACCUCAUUGCGAGACGGGGCGCACCAGGAGCGUAAAUGCUACGACCCGAAAGAUGGUGAACUAUGCCUGGUCAGGACGAAGUCAGGGGAAACCCUGAUGGAGGUCCGUAGCGAUUCUGACGUGCAAAUCGAUCGUCGGAACUGGGUAUAGGGGCGAAAGACCAAUCGAACCUUCUAGUAGCUGGUUCCCUCCGAAGUUUCCCUCAGGAUAGCUGGCGCUCGCUAUACGCGAGUCUCAUCCGGUAAAGCGAAUGAUUAGAGGCAUUGGGGUCGAAACGGCCUCAACCUAUUCUCAAACUUUAAAUGGGUGAGAUCUCCGGCUUGCUUGAACUAUGAAGCCGCGAGACCUCGGAUCAGAGUGCCAAGUGGGCCACUUUUGGUAAGCAGAACUGGCGCUGUGGGAUGAACCAAACGCCGAGUUAAAGCGCCAAAAUCGACGCUUAUGGGAUAC
rnacentral:rRNA from 1 species